UACGUAGGGUGCAAGCGUUAAUCGGAAUUACUGGGCGUAAAGCGUGCGCAGGCGGUUUUGUAAGACAGGUGUGAAAUCCCCGGGCUUAACCUGGGAACUGCAUUUGUGACUGCAAGGCUGGAGUGCAGCAGAGGGGGAUGGAAUUCCGCGUGUAGCAGUGAAAUGCGUAGAUAUGCGGAGGAACACCGAUGGCGAAGGCAAUCCCCUGGGCCUGCACUGACGCUCAUGCACGACAGCGUGGGGAGCAAACAGG
rnacentral:rRNA from 1 species